AAUGUAGCUUGCCAUCACCAGUGUGUGAAUGUGUGUGUGAAUGGGCGGAUGACUGAAUGUGUAAAGCGCUUUGGGGUCCUUAGGGACUAGUAAAGCGCUAUACAAAUACAGGCCAUUUACCUUUUUUUUUUUUUUUUUUUUUUUAGCACCUGACGGCUCUUUUUAGCUUCUCAUGCGCAGAGGUGGGUAGUAACGAGCUACAUUUACUCCGUUACAUUUACUUGAGUAAGUUUUUGAAAAAAAUGUACUUUUUAAGUACCUUUUUUGCACGAUACUUUUUACUUUUACUUGAGUACAUUUAUGAAGAAGAAACGGUACUUUUACUCCGCUACAUUUGCAAAAUUCGACUCGUUACUUUUUAAAAAAAAUAGUUUAACACAUUAGAUAACAUGCCGUCAGUGGAGUUUCCGGUAACUUUUUUACCAAUGAGACGUGGCCAUACAGUCACAUGACCAGUUUGAAACCGUGGCGGGCAGAGCGGCCCAAGCGUUUCAAAGUAGCGACACACGGAAAGAAGAAAUGUGAUGGCAGAGUCUACGCUAGAGCUGAAGAGGACGAACAUCUUUGGCCUCACAUACAAAGAAUGUUUCGCUUAAAAGCAGCACAAAAGAACAGCACAAAAGAACAGCUAUGUCUGCAGUGUCGGUGUCUUCAGUGAGAGCCAAAACAAACCAACUUUUCAGUGUGAAACAACUCAACUCGUAACCUGAUGAAACGGUCUCCACUUCAUCAGACAUCACCUAGACACAGAGCUGGAUGAGACCAGCACAAACAGCAGCCUAACCGGCGAAGAUGAUGGAUCCAUGGGGUCAGGAAAGCCAGAAGCAGAGGAACUGGAGAGGUAACUUUCAUGUCCAUUCACUGGAGGUGUGGAUCUAUUGCCUGGCUUUCCUCAGAUCAAGAAGCUGUCGAUCAAAGUCAAUACAGCUCUUCCUGCAUCUGCAGCCUGUGAGAGACUUUUUAGUCAUGCAGGACUCCUGUUCACUGCCAAACGGUCACAGCUUCACAGCAAGAACCUUGAGAGCAAACUGCUGUCUGAUUUGAUGUUACAAUUAAAAAUGUUUGUGUUUUUAUCUGAAGAGUUUAUAAAUAUCUGGUUUCCACUGUAUAUUUGAUGAAUGUCAGCACAAAGAGGGAGAGAGAGAACAAGAGCAGGUGAGACACACAUGUUAGUCAAAUGGUUGUUUACCAAAAGUAUCACCGUAUCACAGGUACUCAUGUAUCUCGUACCUAGUGUUUCUUUUUAGGUUUGUUAUUUUUCAAAUUCUAUAUUUAUUAAGUUAUGCAGGCUUGUUUGCACAACAAGGCUAAAUAAUUAUAUAAACUUUUCUGAAUCUAAAUAGUGGACUUUGGUAGAAUUAAAAAUAAGUGUAGUGCAGGUCUAUGAUGGUUUUUAGUGCUACUAUCAUCUAGUUCUGGUUCUAGUUCUGUCCUGGUUAAGUCCUAAGUAGUCCUGAUUUUGAACUGUUGUAGUCCUGUUUUAAUUCCAGAUCAGUUCUGGGUCUGGUUGAAUUGGGGUUUAGUCCCUGUGUCUUGAUACAGCCCCGACUUUGUUCUGCCUUGCUGCUUAAUUUAAAAACUAGUUUAAGGUGUCCUGCAUAUGUGAUAUAUAUUUUUCC
ensembl:lncRNA